rnacentral:rRNA from 1 species
GGUGCGUGUCAUGGCUGUCGUCAGCUCGUGUCGUGAGAUGUUCGGUUAAGUCCGCUAACGAGCGCAGCCCUCACUGUGUGUUAUACGUGUCACACGGGACUGCCGGUUUUAAGCCGGAGGAAGGCGAGGAUGAAGUCAAGUCAGCAUGGCCUUUAUAUCUUGGGCUACACACACGCUACAAUGGUCUGUACAACAGGUUGCCAAGCCGCGAGGCGGAGCCAAUCCUAAAAGCAGGCCUCAGUUCAGAUUGUAGGCUGCAACCCGCCUGCAUGAAGAUGGAGUUGCUAGUAACCGCAGGUCAGCUAUACUGCGGUGAAUACGUUCCCGGGUCUU